GGUUAAGUGACUAAGCGUACAGGGCGGAUGCCUUGGCAAUCAGAGGCGAUGAAGGACGUGCUAAUCUGCGAAAAGCUUGGAUGAGUCGAUAAGAGGCGUUUAAUCCAAGAUGUCCGAAUGGGGAAACCCAGUAGAUGAAGAAUCUACUAUCAAUAAAUGAAUACAUAGUUUAUUGAGGCGAACCGGGAGAACUGAAACAUCUAAGUACCCCGAGGAAAAGAAAUCAACCGAGAUUCUGUGAGUAGCGGCGAGCGAAAGCGGAAGAGCCAGUAAGUUUUAGCUAGCGUAUUAGAGGAAUUGGCUGGGAAGCCAAAUCAAAGAGGGUGAUAAUCCCGUACUCGAAAGUAUGGUAGUGGAACUAAGCUUACGAUAAGUAAGGCGGGACACGAGAAAUCCUGUUUGAAGAUGGGGGGACCAUCCUCCAAGGCUAAAUACUCCUGAUUGACCGAUAGUGAACCAGUACUGUGAAGGAAAGGCGAAAAGAACCCCGGUGAGGGGAGUGAAAUAGAACCUGAAACCCUGUACGUACAAGCAGUAGGAGCGAGGGCAACCUUGUGACUGCGUACCUUUUGUAUAAUGGGUCAGCGACUUAUAUUUUGUAGCGAGGUUAACUGAAUAAGGGAGCCGAAGGGAAACCGAGUCUUAACUGGGCGUUGAGUUGCAAGGUAUAGACCCGAAACCCGGUGAUCUAGCCAUGGGCAGGUUGAAGGUUGGGUAACACUAACUGGAGGACCGAACCGACUAAUGUUGAAAAAUUAGCGGAUGACUUGUGGCUGGGGGUGAAAGGCCAAUCAAACCGGGAGAUAGCUGGUUCUCCCCGAAAUCUAUUUAGGUAGAGCCUUGAGCGGACACCUUCGGGGGUAGAGCACUGUUUCGGCUAGGGGUCCAUCCCGGAUUACCAACCCGAUGCAAACUGCGAAUACCGAAGAGUGAUACUCAGGAGACACACGGCGGGUGCUAACGUUCGUCGUGGAGAGGGAAACAACCCAGACCGCCAGCUAAGGUCCCGAAGUCUAUAUUAAGUGGGAAACGAAGUGGGAAGGCUUAGACAGCUAGGAUGUUGGCUUAGAAGCAGCCAUCAUUUAAAGAAAGCGUAAUAGCUCACUAGUCGAGUCGGCCUGCGCGGAAGAUGUAACGGGGCUCAAAUAUAGCACCGAAGCUGCGGCAUCAGAAUUUAUUCUGUUGGGUAGGGGAGCGUUGUGUAAGCGGAUGAAGGUGGCUCGAGAGGGUUGCUGGACGUAUCACAAGUGCGAAUGCUGACAUAAGUAACGAUAAAACGAGUGAAAAACUCGUUCGCCGGAAGACCAAGGGUUCCUGUCCAACGUUAAUCGGGGCAGGGUGAGUCGGCCCCUAAGGCGAGGCUGAAAAGCGUAGUCGAUGGGAAACGGGUUAAUAUUCCCGUACUUGGUAAAGCUGCGAUGUGGGGACGGAGAAGGUUAGGUAAGCGGACUGUUGGAUAUGUUCGUUUAAGCAGGUAGUUGGAAAGGGUAGGCAAAUCCGCUCUUUCAUACAACAACGAGACGUGAUGACGAGGCUCUACGGAGCUGAAGUUACCGAUACCCGGCUUCCAGGAAAAGCCACUAAGCGAAAGGCUUUACUAAACCGUACUGAAAACCGACACAGGUGGUCAGGUAGAGAAUACUCAGGCGCUUGAGAGAACUCGGGUGAAGGAACUAGGCAAAAUAGCACCGUAACUUCGGGAGAAGGUGCGCUUACAGUAAUUGUAGUCCCUUGCGGAUGAAGGUGAAGUAAGUCGAAGAUACCAGCUGGCUGCAACUGUUUAUUAAAAACACAGCACUCUGCAAACACGAAAGUGGACGUAUAGGGUGUGAUGCCUGCCCGGUGCUGGAAGGUUAAUUGAUGGUGUUAUCGAAAGAGAAGCUCCUGAUCGAAGCCCCAGUAAACGGCGGCCGUAACUAUAACGGUCCUAAGGUAGCGAAAUUCCUUGUCGGGUAAGUUCCGACCUGCACGAAUGGCAUAAUGAUGGCCAGGCUGUCUCCACCCGAGACUCAGUGAAAUUGAAAUCGCCGUGAAGAUGCGGUGUACCCGCGGCUAGACGGAAAGACCCCGUGAACCUUUACUAUAGCUUGACACUGAACAUUGAAUUUUGAUGUGUAGGAUAGGUGGGAGCCUUUGAAGCAGUGACGCCAGUCAUUGUGGAGGCGACCUUGAAAUACCACCCUUUAACGUUUGAUGUUCUAACGAAGUGCCUGAAACGGGUACUCGGACAGUGUCUGGUGGGUAGUUUGACUGGGGCGGUCUCCUCCCAAAGCGUAACGGAGGAGCACGAAGGUUUGCUAAUGACGGUCGGACAUCGUCAGGUUAGUGCAAUGGUAUAAGCAAGCUUAACUGCGAGACAGACAAGUCGAGCAGGUGCGAAAGCAGGUCAUAGUGAUCCGGUGGUUCUGAAUGGAAGGGCCAUCGCUCAACGGAUAAAAGGUACUCCGGGGAUAACAGGCUGAUACCGCCCAAGAGUUCAUAUCGACGGCGGUGUUUGGCACCUCGAUGUCGGCUCAUCACAUCCUGGGGCUGAAGUAGGUCCCAAGGGUAUGGCUGUUCGCCAUUUAAAGUGGUACGCGAGCUGGGUUUAGAACGUCGUGAGACAGUUCGGUCCCUAUCUGCCGUGGGCGUUGGAUGAUUGAUUGGGGCUGCUCCUAGUACGAGAGGACCGGAGUGGACGCAUCACUGGUGUUCCAGUUGUCUCGCCAGAGGCAUUGCUGGGUAGCUAAAUGCGGAAGAGAUAAGUGCUGAAAGCAUCUAAGCACGAAACUUGCCAAGAGAUGAGUCAUCCCUGACUUUAAGUCAGUAAGGGUUGUUGUAGACGACGACGUAGAUAGGUUGGGUGUGUAAGUGUAGUGAUACAUUGAGCUAACCAAUACUAAUUGCCCGAGAGGCUUAACCAU
rnacentral:rRNA from 1 species